rnacentral:rRNA from 1 species
CCUACGGGAGGCAGCAGUGGGGAAUAUUGCACAAUGGGGGAAACCCUGAUGCAGCGACGCCGCGUGAGUGAAGCAGUAUUUCGGUAUGUAAAGCUCUACCAGCAGGGAAGAAAAUGACGGUACCUGAUUAAGAAGCCCCGGCUAACUACGUGCCAGCAGCCGCGGUAAUACGUAGGGGGCAAGCGUUAUCCGGAUUUACUGGGCGUAAAGGGGUCGUAGACGGCAGGCCAAGUCUGGAGUUAAAUGCCGAGGCUUAACCCCGGAACUGCAUUGGAUACUGUGAAGCUGGAAUGCAGGAGAGGUAAAUGGAAUUCCUGGUGUAGCGGUGAAAUGCGUAGAUAUUAGGAGGAACACCAGUGGCGAAGGCGGCUUGCUGGACUGUAACUGACGUUGAGGCUCGAAAGCGUGGGGAGCAAACAGGAUUAGAUACCCGAGUAGUC